UACGUAGGGUCCAAGCGUUAAUCGGAAUUACUGGGCGUAAAGCGUGCGCAGGCUGUUUUGUAAGUCAGAUGUGAAAUCCCCGGGCUCAACCCGGGAACUGCGUCCGAGACUGGGAGGCUAGAAUCCGGGAGAGGGAUGUGGAAUUCCAGGUGUAGCGGUGAAAUGCGUAGAUAUCUGGAGGAACAUCGGUGGCGAAGGCGGCAUCCUGGACCGGUAUUGACGCUGAGGCGCGAAAGCCAGGGGAGCAAACGGG
rnacentral:rRNA from 1 species